ACUCUAAUAGUUUAGAAAAAACAUUGGUCUUGUAAACCAAAGAUCGAAGACCGCACAUCUUCUUAGAGUA
rnacentral:tRNA from 1 species